UUUUAUUUUAAAAUAUCGUUUUAGUGACAAUGAGUUUGUAUAAUUUAGUAGGAAUUUUGAUUUGAGAAUCGCAAAUUUAGUGAAAAAGUAAUUUUCCGUGAGAAAUUUUCUUGUUAUAUUUUGUUUAACUUGAAAACCACGAAGGCGAAUUCGACAAAUUUGAUUACUUGGGUGAUUUUUUACUUUUUUGCUUGCAACACGGAUAUUUUUUGUGAAGUUCAUUUUGAAAAUUUGAUUUUAUUGAUAUAAUUUUCAUUUAUAACUAACUCACUCAAGUCGAAUAAAUUACAACAACUUGGGUGUUGGUGCGCGAUUCUACGCGAAAUUUUAACCUGUUAACGAAACGAAAAGUAAAUGUAUUGCACGUUCCAUAAUGCGGUUUGCUAAAAAGUAGUUGAUUGUUGGAUAAAUAACAAAAAAAAUGAUUUUCCAUUCUUCAUGGGGGCUUUCCUAUGUGGACAAAGUUAUGUGUUUGUGCGCGAUUCGACGCGAAAUUUUAACCCGUUAACGGAACGAAAAAUAUAUAGUGUGCGAAUCGAUAAAGCAGUUUGCCAAAAGGAAGGUGAUUGUUGAAUAAAUAACAAAAAAACAUAUUUCUUCAAUUUUUGUAACAAAUAUGUAUUUUAAACUACAAAUAUAUGUGUUUCUAAAAUGGAAAUGCUGAUGCAUGAGAAAUAUAUAAAUACAUGUAAAAUUCUAUUUUCUAUUAUCGUUUUUCUGUGUCACGUUUUUUUCCAAAACUUAACCUGUCUGAAAAAAAAUUUUUUAUGUAAUAAAUUUUUUACAAAUUAAAUUUACAAAUAUAAAAAAAAUUAUAGAUAUCUGGAGAAUAAUAUUCAUAAGAAUUUGUCUUUUUAUGUUUGGUAUUUUCAGUUAAGUAAAUUGAAAGUAUGUGUGUGAUAAUUAUUGUAUCUUGUAUGCAUGUGUUAAAAAUUCCGUUUUGCAAUCUUCAUAUCGAUGGCUACUUCAUUUGUUAUAAAUUUUCGUUUUUCUUUCCCAAACUGGACCUGAAAUUUAAAAAUAUAAAAUGUAAACUUCGGAUCUGUGAAUUACUUUGAUAAUAAUUGAAUGAUAAAAUUAUUAUACACUGUUUUGUUCUUAUACAGAACUUAAUAAAAUUGAAUUUUUCGAAAUGAAAAUUACAUUUUUUUAAUAAUAAUUCGAAAAAAAAAACAUAUUUUCUGGACAUUUUAUUUUAUAAUCGACUGUGAACAAUUUAUUCAAACGUUAAUUGUUUCUAAGUUAUAUCAACCCUUAAAAAAAGAAAACUGCAUCUGUUUCUUUUUUAAUUUUGAAGGUUUUCUGCUCAAGUUAGUUGAAUGUAUAUGUGUAAUAAUAUAUUUUUCAAAAUAAAAGAUUUUCUCAAGAGUUUAUC